AUUGAACGCUGGCGGCAGGCCUAACACAUGCAAGUCGAGCGGUAGAGAGGUGCUUGCAUCUCUUGAGAGCGGCGGACGGGUGAGUAAUGCCUAGGAAUCUGCCUAGUGGUGGGGGAUAACGUUCGGAAACGGACGCUAAUACCGCAUACGUCCUACGGGAGAAAGCGGGGGAUCUUCGGACCUCGCGCCAUUAGAUGAGCCUAGGUCGGAUUAGCUAGUUGGUNAGGUAAUGGCUCACCAAGGCGACGAUCCGUAACUGGUCUGAGAGGAUGAUCAGUCACACUGGAACUGAGACACGGUCCAGACUCCUACGGGAGGCAGCAGUGGGGAAUAUUGGACAAUGGCGCAAGCCUGAUCCAGCCAUGCCGCGUGUGUGAGAA
rnacentral:rRNA from 1 species